CAAAAUCCAGAUCUAUUUUCAAACUAUUUUUUUUUGGGUUGAAAUCUAGGAUAGAUCUACCUUCUAUUCCUUUAGGGAUGGCUUCAAAAAGAACGGUUAUGUUGCUGAUUGGUCUUCUGGCAAUGGUUUAUCAGGCAACACAGCUACCUCUUCCAGAGGUUACUGUUGCUUUAUCAGAAGAAGAAGAUGUUUGUACGAUGGCACAAACCCAAACCCAACCUCCCCACCAUCUCAACCCUUUGGGCCGUGGUAGUUCCUAGCCCCUCCAUUUGGAAAAGGAGGGACUUAGGUUUGAAGACUUGGGCUAGCAUACAAAGGAGGAACUUAGGUUUGAAGACUUGGGCUAGCUUAUAUGCUAGACACCAAAUCCCUCAACAACCGAUGUGGGAUAAUAAAUUCCAACACUCCCCCGCACUCGUGGACUGGGUAUCGAAGCCCAAGGUCCAACGAGUGGACUUCUUAUCAAGGACGAGCGCACACCUGCUUCGACACCAUGUAGAAAAUCCCACGAUGGCACAAACCCAAACCCAAACCCAACCUCCCCACCAUCUUAGCCCUUUGGGCCGUGGCAGUUCCCAACCCCUCCCUUUGAAAAAGCCUGGACUUAGGUUUGAAGACUUGGACUAGCUUAUAUGCUAGACACCAAAUCCCUCAACAACCGAUGUGGGAUAAUAAAUCCUAACACUGAUGAAACUAUCCAAUCGUGUACCUGUGUUGAUCUGAAGAUUUCGUUCCUGAUAGUCUAAGAGAGCUCCGUCGUUGACGGCGAAAUUGUGCAGGAGGAGGUUCUUGGUUGUCGACGAAAUUGUGGCGGUGAU